GACGAACGCUGGCGGCGUGCCUAAUACAUGCAAGUAGAGCGCUGAAGAGAGGAGCUUGCUCUUCUUGGAUGAGUUGCGAACGGGUGAGUAACGCGUAGGUAACCUGCCUGGUAGCGGGGGAUAACUAUUGGAAACGAUAGCUAAUACCGCAUAAAAUUGAUUAUUGCAUGAUAAUUAAUUGAAAGAUGCAACUGCAUCACUACCAGAUGGACCUGCGUUGUAUUAGCUAGUUGGUGAGGUAACGGCUCACCAAGGCGACGAUACAUAGCCGACCUGAGAGGGUGAUCGGCCACACUGGGACUGAGACACGGCCCAGACUCCUACGGGAGGCAGCAGUAGGGAAUCUUCGGCAAUGGGGGGAACCCUGACCGAGCAACGCCGCGUGAGUGAAGAAGGUUUUCGGAUCGUAAAGCUCUGUUGUAAGAGAAGAACGGGUGUGAGAGUGGAAAGUUCACACUGUGACGGUAUCUUACCAGAAAGGGACGGCUAACUACGUG
rnacentral:rRNA from 1 species